UUUGUUGGUGUAGAGGAGCAGAACAUGAUUUGAAGGUUGCUGAUAUGGUGGGCUGGACUUUGCUUGGGGAGUGCCCUGAAACUCUCAAGGUGCAGCAGGCACAAGGCACACCAGCAUCCAACCUGUCUGGCAUGGCUGCUUCACAUGGAAGGGGAAGAGCAGCUACUAGAAGGUGUUUCCACCCUCAUAUAGACACAAGGUCAGCCUGACCUAUUAUCUAUUUCUGUCUGAGUUUCUGUGUCUCCUGCAGGUUCUUGUCUUGUGGGGCUGCCAGACCGCCCGAGUCAUGUGACUGGCUGUCUGAUUUCCGACUCAAGCUUUUCAUUUCCUAAAUGAUAACGGAUAAAAGAUAAAAUCUGGCACACACAGCUCUCAAGGGACCUUCAGGCACGUUCUGUGGGCAGAGCACAUGGAAUUGCUCAGAUGUAUUGUUUGCACAGUGCAGUGUUUCUGAAGAGGACACAAUUCUGCAAGUCAGGGCAGGUGGCAUGGAGAUGAGCAGAUCAUUGCUUAUAACAUUUUUGGAGAGUGUGUUGAUCACAAUCAUGAAACAGGCCCAAAUGGUAAUUUCUGAGCAGUUCAAACUCAGGAGCAGAGCAGAAGCAAGGAGUAGUGGGUGACGCCUCAAAUCUCACGCCGUUUUUGUGGUUCCUUUGUGGCCCAUGGUCUGCCAGGUGACUGAAGGAAGACCUGCUCUCUCUCCACUUGCUUUGCCUUCUGGGUUCCUGUGGUCCAUGGGUUUUAUGAACUCGUAAGCACUGAAGUUCAUACUUGGGAAGU